GUAGUCUCGCACAGAUGCAUAUCAAUAAGCGGAGGAAAAGAAACUAACAAGGAUUCCCCUAGUAACGGCGAGUGAAGCGGGAAGAGCUCAAAUUUGAAAUCUUAAAGGGUUUCCCUUUACGAAUUGUAGUUUAAAGAAGUGUUUUCUGUUGAGGUUUUGGUAAAAGUUCUUUGGAAUAGGACAUCAUAGAGGGUGAGAAUCCCGUAUUUGACCUUUACUUUCAACUUUGUGAUACACUUUCAAAGAGUCGGAUUGUUUGGGAAUGCAGUCCAAAAUGGGUGGUAAAUUUCAUCUAAAGCUAAAUAUUGGCGAGAGACCGAUAGCGAACAAGUACCGUGAGGGAAAGAUGAAAAGAACUUUGAAAAGAGAGUUAAACAGUACGUGAAAUUGUCAAAAGGGAAGCGUCUGACACCAGUGUUGUUUUUCUGAAAAUCAAUUAAAGAACUGUUUAUGCUAAGCUGUUUAGACUUUAUCAGCUAACUGUUUAGUUUUGAGCUUUUCUUUAAUGCACUUUUCAGUUAACAAGUCAACAUCAAUUUCUUUUGCUGUAAAAAAGCUUGAGGAAGGUGGCUUGAGAUUCGUCUUAAGUGUUUAUAGCCUCUUGCCUAUGCAGUCGGAGAGAUUGAGGUCUGCAGCGUAGAUCCUUCGGGGCUAAAUGCAUUUGUGCUAAGUUAUAGCAUUUUAUAGACAACUUGUUGACUAUGAUUUGUCUUGUAGCUUACUCGCUUAUGUUAUUUUACCUACGCUUAGGAUGUUGAAGACUCUACAGAGAUA
rnacentral:rRNA from 1 species